CAAAUGAGGGGUUACGUCGUUCUUAUCGUUAUUAAUGGUUACGGAAGCUUUUCUAUUUCCUUGUUCCUAUUUACAUUAGUUGUCCCAAGGCUAGGUACCAAAGGCGACGGUAGGCUGUAAUUGUGAUGUGUGUGUGGGAUGUUUCGAAGAUGAACAAAGGGCUAACAUAGAAAUGAUGUCACCUAGGGGUGGAGUAGCAGGAUUAGAAUUUGAAUGACCAGACUGGAAACUGAGUGUUAAAGUUGUAUUCGGGAUUUCAUUUCUACGAUCGUCAUAUCGUCAGCUUUCAGCUCAACUAUUCCUGAAUUCUACUGCAAACCAAUUCAAUUUAGUUCCAAUUUCAUUUACAUAUUAACACAGCUGCCAAUUAUUCUGACCAAAACAAUCGCUUUGAUCUAAGUAAUCCCUCUAGAAAAAGUCUCGCCUGCUUGAACCCUUGAUUUCUCCACCUCCUUGAUUACCCUCCUAAAACACCUGACCUUGCCCAAAAAAUUUCAAGCGCAAUGCACCUGAACCACCAACACAUGUUAAAACACUCUCCGCUACACCCACAACCCAACAAAAGACGUAUCUUUCUAUAAUUUGCCGAUUACCAGACCCGAAGAAUCUCCCAAACGAUUAGGAAUUCCACAAAAAUCGUAAUACAAUUAUACGCCGCUCGCACAAUUAACAACAAGUCGUACACCUUUUGAUUGCUUGGACCUCUGCUAAUGUAUUCCAUUUAAAUCCAGACCCUGCCCAUAGACCCUCGGCGGAAGUCUAUCAGAUGGUGUGGAUGAGACACCUGGUUACUUUUGGCAUCAUGUCCAGACUGCUGUGAUGCUGGCUGUUACCUGGCGGAUUCGUCGUUUCUUUGCUCUCAAGCUGUGUAAAAGCCUGAAGUAGCAAAUCCACUUUAAAUCCUGCCCCACAAUCUGUUCACCAUCAUAAUGUUGAUAAAUACAUAUAUUAUUGAUAAUAUA